rnacentral:rRNA from 1 species
GAAGCGUUAUCCGUGCUGGACCGUGUAUAAGUCUCCUGGAAUGGAGCGUCAUAGAGGGUGAGAAUCCCGUCUUUGACACGGACUACCAGUGCAUUGUGAUGCGCUCUCGACGAGUCGAGUUGUUUGGGAAUGCAGCUCAAAAUGGGUGGUAAAUGCCAUCUAAAGCUAAAUAUUGGCGAGAGACCGAUAGCGAACAAGUACCGUGAGGGAAAGAUGAAAAGAACUUUGGAAAGAGAGUUAAACAGUACGUGAAAUUGUCGAAAGGGAAACGGUUGCAGUCAGUCGCGUCCGCCGGGGAUCAACCUUGCUUUUGCUUGGCGUAUUUCCCGGUGGAUGGGUCAGCAUCAGUUUUGACCGCAGUUGAAAGGCUGGAGGAAUGUGGCACCUUCGGGUGUGUUAUAGCCUCCUGUCAUAUGCUGCGGUUGGGACUGAGGAACUCAGCACGCCGCAAGGCCGGGAUUCGUCCACGUUCGUGCUUAGGAUGCUGGCAUAAUGUCUGUAACCGACCCGUCUUG